rnacentral:ncRNA from 2 species
ACUUAAUAUGACAGUAUAGGUGCCUGCGAGGCUUAAUAGAUAAGCCGGUGCAAUACCGGCGCGGUCCCGCCACUGUAAUGGGGAGCAAACUCAAAAAAUGUCACUCUUGGGAAGGCCUGAGCCAGCGAUGAUCCAGAGCCAGGAGAACUGCCUAUAUGAUAAUCACCGU